GCCAUUUUGCCUUAAUGGUAAAUAUGGGAUGCAGUGUAUGGAACAUCAAUAAUCUAGUAUGAAAAAUUAACGAUUUAAGUCCUUCUUAAAUGAGGCCAUUUACCCAUAGAGGGUGCCAGGCCCGUAUAACGUUAAUGAUUAUUAGAAGGUGUUUCCAAAGAGUCGUGUUGCUUGAUAGUGCAGCACUAAGUGGGUGGUAAACUCCAUCUAAAACUAAAUAUAACCAUGAGACCGAUAGUAAACAAGUACCGUGAGGGAAAGUUGAAAAGAACUCUGAAUAGAGAGUUAAAUAGUACGUGAAACUGCUUAGAGGUUAAACCCGAUGAACCUGAAUAUCCAUUAUGGAAAAUUCAAUACUAAUAAAAUAGUGUGCAAUUUUUCCAUAUAAGGACAUUGUAAUCUGUUAAUGUAAUAAAUAUUUAUCAAAAGAUUCUUUACUUAAGUUUAUUCAAAUUCAACAUAAAAUAAAUGUAUUGAAUUGGAUAAAUCAUUGACAGAUAUAAUUAUAUAAUGUGCUUAAAUUCUAAGGAAUUUUACAAUAUUGUUUGCACUAUUAUGAUUAACAAUGCGAUAGAUUCAGGAUACCUUCGGGACCCGUCUUGAAACACGGACCAAGGAGUCUAACAUAUGUGCAAGUCAUUGGGUAUUUAUAAUAAAACCCAAUGGCAUAAUUAACUUAACUUUUGGGAUUAAUUUAUAUUUAUUCAAUCCCGGGGCGUUCUAUAUAGUUAUGUAUAAUAAUAUUUAUAUUAUUUAUACCUCUAACUAGAGCGUACCUUGAGCAUAUAUGCUGUGACCCGAAAGAUGGUGAACUAUACUUGAUCAGGUUGAAGUCAGGGGAAACCCUGAUGGAAGACCGAAACAGUUCUGACGUGCAAAUCGAUUGUCAGAAUUGAGUAUAGGGGCGAAAGACUAAUCGAA
rnacentral:rRNA from 1 species